GCCGGACAUGGUGGUAUAUGCCUGUAAUCCCAGCUACUCGGGAGGCUGAGGCAGGGGAAUUGCUUGAACCCAGGAGGCCGAGGUUGCAGUGAGCCAAGAUCGCGCCACUGUAUUCCAGCCUGGGUGACAGAGUAAGACUCUGCCUCAA
rnacentral:SRP_RNA from 1 species